rnacentral:rRNA from 1 species
UACGUAGGGCGCAAGCGUUGUCCGGAAUUAUUGGGCGUAAAGAGCUCGUAGGCGGUUUGUCGCGUCUGCUGUGAAAUCCUCAGGCUCAACCUCGGGCCUGCAGUGGGUACGGGCAGACUAGAGUGCGGUAGGGGGAGAUUGGAAUUCCUGGUGUAGCGGUGGAAUGCGCAGAUAUCAGGAGGAACACCAAUGGCGAAGGCAGAUCUCUGGGCCGUAACUGACGCUGAGGAGCGAAAGCAUGGGGAGCGAACAGG